rnacentral:lncRNA from 1 species
CUUCAUUCCCUAUUACAUACUUGAUUCACCAUCAGUUUUCAGCUGAUCCUAAAUGCUCCCAGAGCUCCAGGAAGCUGGGAGAAAAUACCCCAGUAUCUUCUGAAAGCUAGGUAGAACCAUCCCCCUCCCACAGACGGUUUUGACAAUGUUAGGCCACGGGUUAGAUCUCCCAAAUUCCCAUCUCCUGCUAAGAGAUCCCCACUGCCAUCAGUAGGUUUAUAUUUACACUUCUUUGUGCCCCAAAUGCACUUUUUUCUGCUAACUAGAACUUACUGAUGGGUACAUAUCCUUAUCAAAGUUUGUUUACCGCCUCUGGUUAUAUUCAGCGGUGGAGCAAAGUGGGUGGGCAAUGGGAACAUCAAGUUUGAGUCCUAGGUUUUCAGCUUGAGCAAGAGUAGAUAGAGGGAGACUAGAAAGAUGGAGAGCAUGGAGUGUUUUAAGG